CGAUUUACUUUCCAAUUUGGUUUCCAUAGGAACAGAGUUGGCGCUGUCGCAUCACACGUCUUCAGUCCCACUGACCAGGUUCCUGUUUGCGUUCAUCCCAAGUCUCGAGCGGCCAUGCCUCCUGGAUGCUGUUACCUGAUUUGGAGCGUGAGGCACGCAAGUUCAGGCUCAACUGUGUCCACCUUCUGGGACCAAGGGAGUCUAAGUUCACGGUCUGGGAUCAUCCCAGGCUACGAAGGCACAUCACCUACACCAGGAACGCUAGACUGACCUCUCUAUCAAUAAAACAACAAACAACUCAAUGGACAGAACUUGGCAUUAUGCUUUCAUUAUGAGUCGGCAGAUGAACGGACAAGUACAAACCACAAGUUUCUAAUGUUUGAAAUAAAAAUGCAAAUAAUAUUCAAAGUUUUGAAACCAAAAA
rnacentral:sRNA from 1 species